AAGAGGCUUUGGGGGGAGGAGGAGAGUGGGUAGCGGUGGGAGAGUGGCAGAAGAAGAGAGGUCGAGAGGAGAAGGAAGGAAGGGAAUGGGAGAUAAGUGAGCGGCGUGGGAGGUGCGAGAAUGGAAUGGUGAUGGUGGUGGUGGUGGUGGUGACGGUGGUGGUGGAGGUGAGAAGGGGUUUGAGGAAAAGGGAGAAGGAAGAAGAUGAUGGUGGUGGUGGGCGGUGGAGGAGGAGGUGGAGCCGGUGACAGGUUGGAGCUCCUACUGCUGCUGCUGCCGCCGCCAUUUUCUUUUCGGCUGGUUCUUAGCUUUACCC
rnacentral:lncRNA from 1 species